rnacentral:rRNA from 1 species
CUACGGAGGGUGCAAGCGUUAAUCGGAAUUACUGGGCGUAAAGCGUACGUAGGCGGUUCGUUAAGUUAGAUGUGAAAGCCCCGGGCUUAACCUGGGAACUGCAUUUAAAACUGGCGAACUAGAGUUGAGUAGAGGGGAGUGGAAUUUCAGGUGUAGCGGUGAAAUGCGUAGAGAUCUAAGGAACACCAGUGGCGAAGGCGACUCCCUGGACUCGAACUGACGCUGAGGUACGAAAGCGUGGGUAGCAAACGGGAUUAGAAACCCUAGUAGUCC